AUGGGUGAAUAACACGAACUUAAUCUACCCCCAAGUUUGGGAUAACAGUUGGAAACAAUUGCUAAUACCAAAUACAUAUAAGUUUUGCAUAAUUCUUAUAUAAAAGGAGCGUUUGUUUCGCUAGGGGAUGAGAGUGCGCUACAUUAGUUAGUUGGUAGGGUAAGAGCCUACCAAGACUAUGAUGUAUAGCGGGGCUGAGAAGCUGAACCGCCACACUGGGACUGAGAUACGGCCCAAACUCCUACGGGAGGCAACAGUAGGGAAUAUUCCACAAUGAGCGAAAGCUUGAUGGAGCAACACAGCGUGCAGGAAGACGACCUUAGGGUUGUAAACUGCUGUUAUGAGGGAAGAAAAAUAAAAUUAGGAAAUGAAUUUUACAUGACGGUACCUCAUCAGAAAGCACCGGCAAACUAUGUGCCAGCAGCCGCGGUAAUACAUAUGGUGCAAGCGUUAUCCGGAAUUAUCUGGGCGUAAAGUGUCUGUAGGUGGUAUGUUAAGUCUAGUGUUAAAGACUAGGGCCCAACCCUAGCACGCUCUAGAUACUGACAUGCUAGAGUCAUAGAGAGGUUA
rnacentral:rRNA from 1 species